rnacentral:tRNA from 1 species
GCGGGUAUGAUGGAAUUGGUAGACAUGCGAGAUUUAGGUUCUCGUGCUUUCCGCGUGUGGGUUCGAGUCCCACUACCCGUACCA